UACGUAGGGCGCAAGCGUUGUCCGGAAUUAUUGGGCGUAAAGAGCUCGUAGGCGGCUUGCCACGUCGAGUGUGAAAGCCCGGGGCUUAACCCCGGGUCUGCAUUCGAUACGGGCUAGCUAGAGUGUGGUAGGGGAGAUCGGAAUUCCUGGUGUAGCGGUGAAAUGCGCAGAUAUCAGGAGGAACACCGGUGGCGAAGGCGGCAUUCUGGACCGAUAUUGACGCUGAGGAGCGAAAGCCAGGGGAGCAAACGGG
rnacentral:rRNA from 1 species